rfam:Felis catus isolate Cinnamon breed Abyssinian chromosome E2, whole genome shotgun sequence.
GCCUGGGUGGCUCAGUCGGUUAAACAUCUGACUUCAGCUCAGGUCAUGGUCUUGCAGUUCGUGGGUUCGAACCCCACAUCUGGCU